ACCAGUUCGCCUUGUCCCCGUGCCAACGAAACUAUAAAUAUAAAUGCUUUGAUGCAACUAAAAACUCAGAGACAUUAGUACAAAAUCCUACUUUAGUGCAAGGAGAGAAUUAAACACAGAGAAAAAUGGCAUCACUCAAAGCUGAGAAACCUGUUGGAACUCAACCAUCUGCCCCAGCAAAGAAAGCAUCUGCUAAGGCUCCUCCCGCUUCCAAAUCGGCCCAGAAAAAGCCUCGUGAGCCUAAGAAGAAGGCAUCAGGUAACAAGUCAGCUGCAAAAAACUAAGAAGAAGAACGAGUAAUUAUAAGAGUAUGAUGAAGAAUAUGGCAUGCAGAUCUGUUACUAAUCAAGAAAUGCAUGGCUGCUUUUUAAACUUAUGAGUGAUAUAGUUAUUAAAGCACUGACUUGUACUUUCUUCUCUUUGGUUUCCUAUUAAUGGAAUAAUCUCAUACUCGUAUUUGUAUUC